CCAAUCACCACCCUGGACGCCUUGUGGUCGGCAGGCAGCCUGGCAGGGUCCCGCGCCAGCACAGUCACGCUGUAUCCUGAGGGAGGAAACACGGAAAUGAAACAGACCAACAGGAAUGCAGAAGAAACAGGAUCUUGUGACAUAUUCCAUCAAGGUCAUGGAAAAGUUGAAGUGAGAGAAUGAGAAUGACCUUUAUCUAACGACGCCAAUAAAAGAGCAGGACAACAUGAUUACAACUGCAGCUAGAAUAAAAGAGUCUUUUCCAGAAGCUCCUGUAAUAACUUCACCAACUACAUAAAGGGGAUCCCACCCUCCCUGCACAGGCGAGAUAGUGAACAGCUUCUACUAUCUGCUCUCUGUGACUCAGCAAAACGCUCCCCUGCAACGUCCAACAUGACUCCACAGUUUUUCGCCCCAUGUUGAGGAGGGAGAAAGGAAAUGAAAAUGCUUUAUAAUCAAAUGAAUCAUGUGACAUAAUGUGCGAGUGAUUUGUGCGAGUGUAUCGUCCUGACUGCAGUUUGUGAAAAUCUUUGGGGGGAAUCCCAACCAAUAAUGGAGCAAAUUACAGCAGAGACUGACGGAUUAAACCUUAUUGGAUUGUGAAUGUAUAAAUAAAGAAUAUUAAAUAACAUGAGAUUAACAAAAAAAGUUUUACCUCUGAAAUGUAAUCAGAUUACAUUUGCUAUGAUCUUCAAAAGUAAUUAAGUGGGACCUAGAGCUGGUGGAAUCAAUAUCACCAUAGUGUUGACCAAAUACAUGAAUAUGUAUACAUGGCAAUAUAAUGUCUAUGUGGGACUACUGGUGUUUUCAAAAUACAUUUACACAGAAGGAAAACAGUAAUGUGGACUAUGACAAAACCUUAAAUUUAGCUAUAACAACUUCACAAGCACAAUCCCACAGUCUCAUAUCACGUUAUUGACAUUAUAUUGAUUCAUGCCCCAACUCUGAAUUCAUAACAGCAGAAGAUGUGGACAACUUGACACAGUAAACCUGUAAACCUGUGUACAUUAUCCCAUUUCUCACCUGCAG